GUCGAGAAUCUUUCACAAUGGGGGCAACCCUGAUGGAGCGACGCCGCGUGGAGGAUAAGGUCUUCGGAUUGUAAACUCCUGUCAUGCGUGAACAAGGUUGCUUGGUUAAUACCUGGGCAAAUUGAUGGUAACGCAAGAGGAAGAGACGGCUAACUCUGUGCCAGCAGCCGCGGUAAUACAGAGGUCUCAAGCGUUGUUCGGAAUCACUGGGCGUAAAGGGUGCGUAGGUGGCGUGGUAAGUCAGAUGUGAAAGCCCGGGGCGCAACCUCGGAACGGCAUCCGAUACUGGCAUACUAGAGUACUGGAGAGGUGACUAGAAUUCUCGGUGUAGCAGUGAAAUGCGUAGAUAUCGAGAGGAAUACCAAAGGCGUAGGCAGGUCACUGGACAGUUACUGACACUGAGGCACGAAGGCCAGGGGAGCGAACGGGAUUAGAUACCCCUGUAGUCC
rnacentral:rRNA from 1 species